UAAAUAUGUUUAUAAUUGUUCUAAAAUUGACCAUACAAAAGUCAUUGAAUGAACUAAAAACUUUAGUUAGGCUACAUUUAUUCUACUUAUACUAAUUUGAUUCUUAUCUUCGCUGCUUCACCCCCUAGUUUUCCCAUACAAGCGUGCCUCACUCCUUGACAUUACCGCCGUUAUUGAUGCCCUGUGACUGUCAAGAGAUUUGAGUGGACUUCGCUGUGGGGUCCUGUUUCCUCACUACGAUCCAAGCAAUAAUUGCAACUAGGAUCGUUGCGGCAAGGAGCCUCUGCCUAGUAUGCGUUGCAGUGAACUCCACAGUGACAAAAUCCCACGGAGGGGUGUAGAGCUUCGCUGGGCCCAACCAUGGCGUGCUCCAUCAUCAGAUCUGCCAACACAGCUGCAAGAGUGUGCAGUGUGUUGACACACAUGUGCUGAGAGGUUUCCAGGAGCCUUGAAGUUUGUUACUCUGAGAAUGCUUGGGAUGUAUGAGUGAUCUAGUGUAACUGAAAGUGCAAGGAAAGGAGCUUCACCAUCAAGUGUUCAUUGAGCAAGUUGAACUAUGAAUAGCUAUCGUGGGUAAGAAAUCCAGCAGUUGAUCAGUGGUUGUAAUCAUCCAUUUGAUGAAGUAGGGUACCACUGAUUCAUUUACUGUAUGGACGUCAAUACAUGUUUUUUUGAAUCUAAUACUCCGUAGUCACAACGCGUGUGAAUAACUACCCUGAAGAGAUGCUCGAGUUUGAAUUCAGGUGAUGUUGGAAUGCUUCUGUAAGGAUUUUACAUGCACGACAAGGGUAAGUGCAAGUGGCUUAACAAAUUUGUGAUGUUCUCGUCGCUGUGCAUCUGGCGACUUUGAUUCCAUUCCUUGAAACAUCUGCUACUUCGAAACAUGUGGUUUUAAAUCAACGCAUGAAAAAUUUUCGUCUCACACCUUGCUUUUUGUCUCGGUCGAAGGAUCAAUGGCCGAAACGCUUCAUGAAACAGCAGGUGCGGGUCCAAGCUAAAUGUAACAAUCGAUUAUGAAACUUUUUCCUCCACACGCUAGGGUUUAAUGUUGUAUAGUGCUGAGGUUGAGCUGUAAAGGUUGAGAGGCUUCGUCGUAAUUCACUGUUGACGUCGCUGUUGACGAUGGGGUGGAAGGUAGUGUGUUUUGUCUGAGAUAGCAAAUGUGAAAGCCGCCAUUGGUAAUUUGAAGCUGUGGACCUCAAGACUUGAAGAAACAUAUCAUGAAUGCGAUCACAAUCACAGGAUGCGUGAUAUUGCAAAAAUGCACCAUGCGCGCAUUGGCAGUAAGUCGUUCAUCGGCCAAUGGACAUCCACAUGCGAAUUACGAAAGGCUCAAGUUGAUAAGUCCUUUCAAACACCAACCCACUGUGCGGACACUUACAAGCCAAAUGCUAAGGAAAAGGAAGCAUCGCAAAAAGCAGGGUGAACAAAGCGGUUCACCACAUGUCGAAAUCUCGGAGCGAAGUCGUCGAUGGCUGCAGCGAAGGCUCUGUUACAUUGUGGUCCAGUUUCAGCAGGAGUAGCAUUCCAUGGACUGACAACUUGGCGAAGCUGAGUAUUUCCCACAACGAUGACUUUUUCAAGUAGCUGCACAGCUUUCGGAGUGAAAUCUCUUUAAGCUCCGUCAUCAAUCUCGUCCUCAUUGUGCACAAUUGUCUUGAACCAGAGUUCCAAUUCGGGUGGUGGUCAGGUGGGGCUAUCCAAAUCGGGAUUGUGCCAAGGAUUUCCAAAGGAUCGAAGACCACUAUUCCUGAGCCUACAAGUCGAGUUUGGAGGUUUGGGAGUCAAAGACAUCAUGCACAGCCCUAAAACAGACGACGAGAAAGAGCUUUUACAGAAGUACGCAUGGAUGUCAGCCGAUGGACAAGAGCAGAUGAGCAUCGUUUGAAACUCGACCUCAAAUCCAGCGAAUUGAACAUCUGCGUAAUUUCAUGCAUUUACAGCCGCCCGUCAAGGUCGGUGUCCACGUAGCACGUUUUGUCGAUAGUACUCUCGAAUAUGGUAAUGGAACUCACUUUCUUUUUAUGGUGGUUUGAGUGUCGAUUGGCACCGAGAUGAUGGUUAGCCGUACCUGAUGGGUGCAAGAAUUUUAGGACUCUGUGCAGAUUUGUCGACACGUUGCAGAUGGUAGAUGUAGCGCUCACCCCUUAACACCUCGUCCCGCGAAAUAGCAACCUGAAAUGCAAUGUUGACGCGGCAGUGACAUCCCGAAUAAAUUGAUUACCCGCAAGGAUGAUCACCUCUGAGACAUUGGUUACAUCACAAAAGAAGACGAUUCUUCUGAGGAGCUACGGUGGCAUAGAAUCGAUACAGCGCGAACAAUCUGUCCAAAGCCAAUUCGACACCACAUCCUCUUAGACUCAGAGUCGUCGGGUCGUCUUCGUUGACUGCUUUGACCCCUCUUCAACCCAUUACCUCGAGUCAAAUACUGAUGGAUGGGACAAUACGACUGCCACUUGCAACUUGCAAUGAUGAUGCUAUUAUGAACAUUGGCACUAUCCAUGACUGAUUAGUUUAUUCAACUUAUGUCCCGAGGUCCAUUUCUUGGACUUUUUCAAUC